rnacentral:rRNA from 1 species
AUUGAACGCUGGCGGCAGGCCUAACACAUGCAAGUCGAGCGGAUGAGAGGAGCUUGCUCUUCGAUUCAGCGGCGGACGGGUGAGUAAUGCCUAGGAAUCUACCUGGUAGUGGGGGACAACGUUUCGAAAGGAACGCUAAUACCGCAUACGUCCUACGGGAGAAAGCAGGGGACCUUCGGGCCUCGCGCUAUCAGAUGAGCCUAGGUCGGAUUAGCUAGUUGGUGAGGUAAUGGCUCACCAAGGCGACGAUCCGUAACUGGUCUGAGAGGAUGAUCAGUCACACUGGAACUGAGACACGGUCCAGACUCCUACGGGAGGCAGCAGUGGGGAAUAUUGGACAAUGGGCGAAAGCCUGAUCCAGCCAUGCCGCGUGUGUGAAGAAGGUCUUCGGAUUGUAAAGCACUUUAAGUUGGGAGGAAGGGCAGUAAGCGAAUACCUUGCUGUUUUGACGUUACCGACAGAAUAAGCACCGGCUAACUCUGUGCCAGCAGCCGCCGUAA